CUUUGACCGAAGAACCCUAGUAGAUCCGGGAGAAACGGGCUCCGGGAAGACGACGCGGAUACCGCAAUUUCUUAACGAGGCGGGACACACGCACGAAGAAUGAUCGGAUGCGCGCAGUUGCGGCGAUUGGCGGCCAUGAGCGUCGCCGCUCGAGUUGCUCGAGAGAAGGGGGUGAAGCUAGGGCACGAAGUCGGCUACUCGAUUCGAUUCGAAGACCGCACAUUACUUGGUUGAAGCUUGGUGAAGGUUUGGGUUAUGGCGACGACGAGUUAUCAGACUUAUGUCAAGUGCCAGAUGAAGCAGCCGCAGCUGGACGCGCUCCGUCCCCUCUGGCGGGCUCGGGCUCGGGCUCAACCUUACGAGUGUGCAGUGGAGUGGGGGUGAUUCGAGGGUUGCAUUCUCGGAGAAUUCGUCACCAGUUUCGGAGAGGAAAGUGAUGUUAAUGAAGGAGGAAGGUGGAGAGGAUGUUCUGACGUGUUGUCAGGCAAUUCAUCAGAUAUCGUUUUUGGAUACAGAGCAUUUGCCUUCUUGGCUCAAGCCACAUGCUAAUAAGGAGGAUUUGGAUCAGUUGAGGAGGAAGUACAAUAGGCAGCGCCAGAAUCUGCAUCACAGCCAUCUUGUGGGAAGGAAUAGCCAUCACUAGCCAUUACUUGGUUGUUUUUGUUACUACUGCUCUUCAAAUUUAUGCAACGGAGGAGAUUGAGGCGGCAAAGACGAUUGUUAGAGAAAAGAUUAGAAAUUUAAGAGCAAAAGAUUAGAGAUUGAGGCUACGGAUGUUAUUUUUAUUUCAUUGUGUUUUAA